rnacentral:rRNA from 1 species
UACGUAGGCAGCGAGCGUUGUUCGGAGUUACUGGGCGUAAAGGGUGUGUAGGCGGUUGUGUAAGUUUGGUGUGAAAUCUCCCGGCUCAACUGGGAGGGUGCGCCGAAUACUGAAUGACUUGGAGUGCGGGAGAGGAAAGUGGAAUUCCUGGUGUAGCGGUGAAAUUCGUAGAUAUCAGGAGGAACACCUGUGGUGUAGACGGCUUACUGGACCAUGACUGACGCUGAGGCACGAAAGCGUGGGGAGCAAACAGG